rnacentral:rRNA from 1 species
GACGAACGCUGGCGACGUGCUUAACACAUGCAAGUCGAACGGAAAGGCCCUGCUUUUGUGGGGUGCUCGAGUGGCGAACGGGUGAGUAACACGUGAGUAACCUGCCCUUGACUUUGGGAUAACUUCAGGAAACUGGGGCUAAUACCGGAUAGGAGCUCCUGCUGCAUGGUGGGGGUUGGUAAGUUUCGGCGGUUGGGGAUGGACUCGCGGCUUAUCAGCUUGUUGGUGGGGUAGUGGCUUACCAAGGCUUUGACGGGUAGCCGGCCUGAGAGGGUGACCGGCCACAUUGGGACUGAGAUACGGCCCAGACUCCUACGGGAGGCAGCAGUGGGGAAUAUUGCACAAUGGGCGGAAGCCUGAUGCAGCAACGCCGCGUGCGGGAUGACGGCCUUCGGGUUGUAAACCGCUUUCGCCUGUGACGAAGCGUGAGUGACGGUAAUGGGUAAAGAAGCACCGGCUAACUACGUG